GCAGGAUACCCGGGUUCGAGUCCCGGUAUCGGAA
rnacentral:snRNA from 1 species